UGACAUCUAAAGAUUACCAAGAAUUUCUUCAGCAACCCUCCUCAAACAUGGAUGAUAGUGGAUUUUUCUCUAUUCAGCUUGAUCCUUGAAGGUGAAUGGACUUGUAUGAUCACCUCCAAGCAAGAUAAUCAAUGCACACCAAAGGCACCAUUCACUUGUGU